rnacentral:rRNA from 1 species
GACGAACCGUGCGAACGUUAUUCGGAAUCACUGGGCUUAAAGCGCGUGUAGGCGGACGGGGACGUCGGUCGCUGAAAUCCCCCGGCUCAACCGGGGAACGGGCGCCGAAACGCCCCGUCUCGAGGGACGUAGGGGGACCUGGAACUUCCGGUGGAGCGGUGAAAUGCGUUGAGAUCGGAAGGAACGCCGACGGCGAAAGCAAGGUCCUGGACUCGUCCUGACGCUGAGGCGCGAAAGCCAGGGGAGCGAACGGG